UUAGAUUUGAUCCUGGCUCAGNACAACGCGGCGGCGUGCUUAACACAUGCAGUCGAACNGAAAGGCCCCUUCCGGGUACUCGAGUGGCGAACGGGUGAGUAACACGUGGGUAUCUGCCCUGCANAUAGGAUAANCCNCNGAAACUGGGUCUAAUACGAAUAUGACCACGCGUUCAUGANGUGUGGUGGAAGNUUUGCGUGUGGGAUGGGCCCCGGCUAUCAGCUGUUGUGGGUAAUGGGNACCAGUUUACACAAAAACGGCUGAGGGGUGUNUCCAAAAGGGUNUUCAAAC
rnacentral:rRNA from 1 species